AUUUUUUGUGUAACUUUUUUUUUUUUUUUUUCGAUUUUGUUGCGAUAUAAUUACCCUAUGUCGUUAUUCGUUCCAUCUGUAGGUGAAAAUUGGCAUGGGCAUCUUCGUUUAUGUUGAUCUAAGGCAUGUCGUUCUUUUGUGUGUAUAUAUAUGAAAAUUUACAUGGGCCCCUCUUCUUUUACCUCAAUCUACCCGCUAAGCUUUAGUUUUUGCUCCAUUUUUGUUCUGAUGUGUUCGUUUUUCAUUGGGUAUUUGCUUAUUUUGUAAUGUUUCUACUCGAUAUUUGCUCUAUUGUGAUCGUUUUGGGGUCGAUAUUUGCUUUUCUUGUAAUGGUUCUACGAGGAUUGAAAGAGAUUCCCGCGGGGUUUGCCUGUUGUGGGAGUUUGAACAAUUUGUUUGGUGUUUUGUGUACUUCAAUUUUUUGAUGAUCGAAGAAUAAAAAAUUGAUGUAGCUUACAUUGGGUUCCGUCUCCUGAGGCAAAAAAGAAUUGUUUCCACUGAAGUUAUGUUUAUUACAUAUAGAUAUAGAUGACUAAAUGGGAAGUUCUAUUUUCUCUCUGAGUAUGCUUGCUUUCAUUUAUUUUUCGCUGAUCUGUUUAAACGUAUAUAUUCAGCUGACGGUUUGUGUUUAGUAUGCCUCUGCUUGGUAUUUUGGUGGUCCAUGUCAAUUGUGAAGCUGCAGUGAAUGCAAACGAGAGGGAGGGAACUUUCCAUAAAUGUUUUUAAGAUAGGAUGUUCUCAUUUCAUGAUUUUUCGAUGAGACAAUCAUAAAAUCAUUCGAUAAAAUGGAAUAUAUCUAUUCAGUUUGUUUGUGCCCUUCAUACAUUUUGGGAAGAACAAUUAAGAGUCUUUGGCAUGCAUAUUGAAUGUGUUAAAGAAAGUGGAGAGGAUUGUGCUUCUAUCCUAUUGAUAUUAUUCUCCACUACACAGGGUAUUAUCCUUAUUUUUCCCAUAUUGUCUUUCAUUUUUCAAGAUGUAAAAUUAUAUUUCGCAAAUUCUUACAGGUUCAACUAUGAUUUUCCAUUCCUAGAAACAAAAGAUGUUCCUUCUGAAAAUGAUGUUCCUCGAUAUUAAAAAGUAUUACCAGCAUAUGGAGGCCAAAUACCAAACUUAGAUCUAUGUGCAAUAAUUUUUCCUUAGAUUUUUCCCUCAUUCCUGUUUUCUCAUAUUCUCGAAUCUUUGUUCAAUAGUUUGUUUCUGAAAUGUGGCUUAGCUGGUCUUUUCACUUGAAACUAGUGUUGGUUCAUUCGUUGAUAUUGUGCAAGGUUUAACUGCUAUCCAUCUCUGAGAUUUUUUCCUCUUCAAUAUAUUUCAAUAAAAAGGUAAGAAUUCUAUUCUUUUGUAGAAAUUCACCUUCCUUUAGUAAUUUCCAAUUAGAUUCCCCAUGGUAAUCAUUGGUUGUUGUUGAUGUACUAAACUUAUUCGGUCAUUUUAUCUUUACUUCUAACACAAACCGUAGUAGUAUACUUUUUCGAUUCUCUUUAGCAUAAAGAGUUAGAACUCAUCUAUUAUUUUUUUAACAUCUAAUUUUUCAUUUCUAUACGAUUUCCUGAUUUCUAUUCUUAAAAAUUAUGAACUCUAUCGUCAAUAUUCAAUUAAUCAAUCUUUUCCUUGAUUUGUUUCGUUUAUUCUAAGGUUUGAUGUUAGGCCUGCAUAAAUGAGGCAUUGUAUCAAUUAUGUUCCAAGUGUGAAAUCGAAUGGAAAAAUGUUCUUCAGGGUUUGGUUCCUACAAUUUUUGAACAUUUUCUUAGUUAAAAUAACUAAAUUGAAACCUCCUUAAUAUUCGAAUAUUUGUCUAAAUCUUUGCUAUUCAUGGUGACCCAUUCUAAAC
rnacentral:lncRNA from 1 species